AGCGAACGCUGGCGGUAGGCCUAACACAUGCAAGUCGAACGACAGCACAGUAAGAGCUUGCUCUUACGGGUGGCGAGUGGCGGACGGGUGAGGUAUACAUCGGAAUCUACUUUUUCGUGGGGGAUAACGUAGGGAAACUUACGCGAAUACCGCAUACGACCUACGGGUGAAAGCAGGGGAUCUUCGGACCUUUCGCGAUUGAAUGAGCCGAUGUCGGAUUAGCUAGUUGGCGGGGUAAAGGCACACCAAGGCGACGAUCGGUAGCACGUCUGACAGGAUGAAUAGGCACACUGGAAGUGAGACAGGGCCCAGACUCCGGCGGGAGGCAGCAGUGGGGAAUAUUAGGCAAGGGGCGAGAGGCUGAUCCAGCCAUACCGCGUAGGUGAAGAAGCACUUCGGGUUGUAAAGUCCUGUUGUUGGGAAAGAAAAGCAGCAGUUUCAUCCGCGGCUGUACUGACGGUACCCGGAGAAGAAGCACCGGCUAACUUCGUG
rnacentral:rRNA from 1 species